rnacentral:rRNA from 1 species
AGUGAACGCUGGCGGUAGGCCUAACACAUGCAAGUCGAACGGCAGCACAGUAAGAGCUUGCUCUUACGGGUGGCGAGUGGCGGACGGGUGAGGAAUACAUCGGAAUCUACUUUUUCGUGGGGGAUAACGUAGGGAAACUUACGCUAAUACCGCAUACGACCUACGGGUGAAAGCAGGGGAUCUUCGGACCUUGCGCGAUUGAAUGAGCCGAUGUCGGAUUAGCUAGUUGGCGGGGUAAAGGCCCACCAAGGCGACGAUCCGUAGCUGGUCUGAGAGGAUGAUCAGCCACACUGGAACUGAGACACGGUCCAGACUCCUACGGGAGGCAGCAGUGGGGAAUAUUGGACAAUGGGCGCAAGCCUGAUCCAGCCAUACCGCGUGGGUGAAGAAGGCCUUCGGGUUGUAAAGCCCUUUUGUUGGGAAAGAAAAGCAGUAGGUUAAUACCCCGCUGUUCUGACGGUACCAAAAGAAUAAGCACCGGCUAACUUCGUG